CAAUAGCGUAUAUUAAAGUUGUUGCGGUAAAAAAGCUCGUAGUUGGAUUUCUACCGAAGAUAGCCGGUCGGGUCUUCGACCUUGUAUCUGGUUUUGUCUUUGGUAUCCUCAUAGGGAACGUUUCUGCGCUUUAUUGCGUGGUGCGGUAUCUAUGACUUUUACUUUGAGGAAAUUAGAGUGUUCACGGCAGGCAAACGCCUUGAAUAUAUUAGCAUGGAAUAAUAACAUAGGAUCUUCGUCCUAUUUUGUUGGUUCCUAGGGCUAAGAUAAUGAUUAAUAGGGAUAAUUGGGGGCAUCUGUAUCAACGCGUCAGAGGUGGAAUUCUUGGAUUGCGUUGCGACAAACUACUGCGAAAGCAUUUGCCAAGGAUGUUUUCAUUGA
rnacentral:rRNA from 1 species